GAUGAACGCUGGCGGCGUGCUUAACACAUGCAAGUCGAGCGAGAAGUUUUGAAAAGAUUCUUCGGAUGAAAUUUAAAAUGGAAAGCGGCGGACGGGUGAGUAACGCGUAGGCAACCUGCCCCAUACAAAGGGAUAGCAUUUGGAAACGAAUAUUAAUACCUUAUGAAACUUAACUAGUGCAUGCUAGGUAGGUCAAAGAUUUAUCGGUAUGGGAUGGGCCUGCGUCUGAUUAGCUAGUUGGGGAGGUAACGGCUCACCAAGGCGACGAUCAGUAGCCGACCUGGGGAGGUGGACGGCCACAUUGGAACUGGGGCACGGUCCAAACUCCUACGGGAGGCAGCAGUGGGGAAUAUUGCACAAUGGGGGAAACCCUGAUGCAGCAACGCCGCGUGAACGAUGAAGGCCUUUGGGUCGUAAAGUUCUGUUCUAGGUGAUGAAAACUGACAGUAACCUAGGAGAAAGCCCCGGCUAACUCCGUG
rnacentral:rRNA from 1 species